rnacentral:rRNA from 1 species
UACAGAGGUCUCAAGCGUUGUUCGGAAUUACUGGGCGUAAAGGGCUCGUAGGUGGCCGACUAAGUCAGACGUGAAAUCCCUCAGCUUAACUGGGGAACUGCGUCUGAUACUGGAUGGCUUGAGUUUGGGAGAGGGAUGCGGAAUUCCAGGUGUAGCGGUGAAAUGCGUAGAUAUCUGGAGGAACACCGGUGGCGAAGGCGGCAUCCUGGACCAACACUGACACUGAGGAGCGAAAGCCAGGGGAGCAAACGGG